CACGUAGGGGGGCGAGCGUUGUCCGGAUUUAUUGGGCGUAAAGAGCUCGUAGGCGGCUCGGUAAGUCAACUGUGAAAGCUCCGGGCUCAACUCGGAGAGGCCAGUUGAUACUGCUGUGGCUAGAGUCCGGUAGGGGAGCGUGGAAUUCCUGGUGUAGCGGUGAAAUGCGCAGAUAUCAGGAGGAACACCGGUGGCGAAGGCGGGUCUCUGGGCCGAUACUGACGCUGAGGAGCGAAAGCCAGGGGAGCAAACGGG
rnacentral:rRNA from 1 species